GACGAACGCUGGCGGCGUGCUUAACACAUGCAAGUCGAACGGAAAGGCCCUGCUUUUGUGGGGUGCUCGAGUGGCGAACGGGUGAGUAACACGUGAGUAACCUGCCCUUGACUUUGGGAUAACUUCAGGAAACUGGGGCUAAUACCGGAUAGGAGCUCCUGCUGCAUGGUGGGGGUUGGAUAGUUUCGGCGGUGGGGGAUGGACUCUCGGCUUAUCAGCUUGUUGGUGGGGUAGUGGCUUACCAAGGCUUUGACGGGUAGCCGGCCUGAGAGGGUGACCGGCCACAUUGGGACUGAGAUACGGCCCAGACUCCUACGGGAGGCAGCAGUGGGGAAUAUUGCACAAUGGGCGGAAGCCUGAUGCAGCAACGCCGCGUGCGGGAUGACGGCCUUCGGGUUGUGAACCGCUUUCGCCUGUGACGAAGCGUGAGUGACGGUAAUGGGUAAAGAAGCACCGGCUAACUACGUG
rnacentral:rRNA from 1 species